CCUUGAAGAAAUUUGUAAAUUAAUUGCAUAAUUAGAGACCAACUCCCGACAAAAGGAAGUAAUCACAAAUCCAGCCAGGAGAAAAAUAUACAAAUAUAUAUUGAGAUUGUCAGAGAAAUUUCGAGGAUUAGAAAUGGCUGGACUGGACAUAUUUUACUAUAAAUUAAUUGAUAAUAAUGUUGAUAAUUACAUGCUCGACGUUUGUGGAGACAACGCUGUUGCAGCUCGGACAUCCUUUUUGCAACAAUGCCAGACGCAUGCCAUGAAUCUCUCGCAGCAGCACUUCCUCGCGUAGCUGCCGAAUACAACAAGAAUAUGUAUAGCAUAAAUAUCAUGAAGAAGUGACACCACGAUCUGAAUUCUUUACCUUGUGCUCCUGCACAAUCUGAUGGAGUCUUAUGUUCUGCUCACUCAAGCCAUGAGCCAAGCCAUCG